rnacentral:lncRNA from 1 species
UUAAUGUAGUCCUGUAGCUCAAUGAUCUUUGUUCCUAUUACUAUUUGAAUUCUAAUUCUGUCAUUUCAACCAUCUCAGCCCAGUUCGGAAGAAAGAAGGCACUCUGGGUUUUUGAGUUGUUAGGCUUCUUAUGCUGAAUCUUUCUCAUUUUUGUGGGAUUAUUUUCAUUCAAUAUUUGAGGUGCUGAUCUUUGGAUGGGUGUUAUUUUCUUUUCUCCUAUUUGAUGCCCUUGAGGAGCUGAUUGUAGUAUAAGUGAAUCAGAGUUCCUGUUGCUCCAGAUUCUCAAGAACAUAUGAUGUCAUCAGUGUUUUAGGUUUUGGUCAUUACAACAGGCAUUAUUGGCAAGUGGAAUGAGAACAAGAAGAGUGGCACCUAGAAAGCCAGCGAGACAGAACCGUUCACUCUUCCGGAAAGGGGGCUGAAACCAGGGAGCCGAGUGGUAUUGCUCAGCGGAUCUCACUCCCAUGAAGCCCAACAAGCUAAGAUCCACUGGCUUGAAACUCUCACUGCCAGCACAGCAGUCUGAAGUCAACCUGAUCCAAGGCUGAAUUCUGCAGUUUUUGGCUUCAUUCCAACUUGAAUUUAUAUAGAAUAUUUUCAAUCUGUGGUUGGUUGAAUCCACAGAUGCAAAACCCACAGACGUGAGGGCUGAUUCUACGUGCAAACUGGCCACAAAAGUCCUGGCUGUCUUCAAAGCUGCAUCCUAACGAGGGCAGAGUACCUGGUACAAUGAAUCUGAUUGUAAUUUACAAGAAAAUCACCUCUACUGCCUACAAUAUGUUACCUCAUUUGUUUCCCAGUUCCUAAUUUGUACCCUUAGAUUCUUAGACCAUAAAGUAUUUCCUGAAGGAAUAGAGGGCUCCAAGUGGGAUGAUUUGAGUAGUUCAUUUUGGUGGCUUUUGUUAUGGAA